GGUGGUUCUGAAUGGAAGGGCCAUCGCUCAACGGAUAAAAGGUACUCCGGGGAUAACAGGCUGAUACCGCCCAAGAGUUCAUAUCGACGGCGGUGUUUGGCACCUCGAUGUCGGCUCAUCACAUCCUGGGGCUGAAGUAGGUCCCAAGGGUAUGGCUGUUCGCCAUUUAAAGUGGUACGCGAGCUGGGUUUAGAACGUCGUGAGACAGUUCGGUCCCUAUCUGCCGUGGGCGCUGGAGAACUGAGGGGGGCUGCUCCUAGUACGAGAGGACCGGAGUGGACGCAUCACUGGUGUUCGGGUUGUCAUGCCAAUGGCACUGCCCGGUAGCUAAAUGCGGAAGAGAUAAGUGCUGAAAGCAUCUAAGCACGAAACUUGCCCCGAGAUGA
rnacentral:rRNA from 1 species